rnacentral:rRNA from 1 species
AGAGUUUGAUCAUGGCUCAGGAUGAACGCUAGCUACAGGCUUAACACAUGCAAGUCGAGGGGCAUCAGUUUGGUUUGCUUGCAAACCAAAGCUGGCGACCGGCGCACGGGUGAGUAACACGUAUCCAACCUGCCUCAUACUCGGGGAUAGCCUUUCGAAAGAAAGAUUAAUAUCCGAUAGCAUAUAUUUCCCGCAUGGGUUUUAUAUUAAAGAAAUUCGGUAUGAGAUGGGGAUGCGUUCCAUUAGUUUGUUGGCGGGGUAACGGCCCACCAAGACUACGAUGGAUAGGGGUUCUGAGAGGAAGGUCCCCCACAUUGGAACUGAGACACGGUCCAAACUCCUACGGGAGGCAGCAGUGAGGAAUAUUGGUCAAUGGACGCGAGUCUGAACCAGCCAAGUAGCGUGAAGGAUGACUGCCCUAUGGGUUGUAAACUUCUUUUAUAUGGGAAUAAAGUGGUCCACGUGUGGAUUUUUGUAUGUACCAUAUGAAUAAGGAUCGGCUAACUCCGUGCCAGCCGCCGCGGUAAUUC